ACUCUUAUGUUUAUGCAUAUCGUUUUUUAACUAAUGGUAUCUUCUAGAAAUCAUUAAUGUCAGUUUACAUCUGACUUUCUGCUGCUCUUCCUCUCACAUUAUUCAUGUUUGAAAGGCUGUUCAUAGCAUUUGUCAGAGAAUGGCUCUUUACCUUCCCAGUGCCAUCUGUUUGGACUGUGCAAGCGGGGAGAUAUUCCUACUUUGCAGUCUCUUUACAAAGAACAGGCUGCAUCCACCAUUUGCAGCUCCUGCCAGGGCAAAGAAUAACAACCAAUUGGGGAAUACAUAAAACAAAUUGGAUGAUGCUUCAGAGAGCCUCUGUAGCCCAACAAGAAAGCAGAAAGCACCAGUUGGAAAAGCUAAACCUUCCAGGAGCAUCUUGCAGACAUGCAGACAGCUGGGCGAAUGGAGGGACUGUGAAGACAUUCCUCAGCUGCUUCAGCAAAAGCUUUGGUCAGGUCAGCUUCAGAACCACGGGAAGCAAUAACACCAGGAGGAGUGGCUGGAACAGGUGGGGAGCAGGAAGGAUGGGAUGAGGGGUCUCCAAUUGGCUGUUUCUGUGGUGGACUCUCCCCAUUGCUUUAGCUCUGGGCCCCCUGUACACGGAGAACAGCUGUGGAUGUGAUUUGUCUCACUUAAACUGAGGCACAGAAAAGGUAGAUGCUGCAAUCUAAAGGAUGUUUCUUUUGCAACGAAUGGAGAUACACCUCCAAAGAGCUCUUUGUCUAACUUCUUGUAGAUGGCUAUCUAAGGAUGAGAUGAUUGUCCCCUGUAUCUUUCCAUGGACUACAGAAGGAAACUAGACCUGGCCCUUAGCAGUUAGCUUUUUGAUUUGUAUUUUGGGACAGCUAAACCCACCAUAUAGAGAAGGCAGGACUAGAGAUGGAUGCAAAGAACAAUCACAGGCCUAAUGAUUUCUGAGAUGAAAGGGGUGAAUACAUGGAAUGCAUUUAUCUUUUCAGUAUCAGAGUGAACGUCCUGUAAAUUCUCAGCUCUGCAGGCACUGUGGUUGUCUGUGCAUUUGAUGCAAAGCAACCAGGUCGUUAGGUGAAGUUCUCUGGCAGAGCUGUGUGCUGGGCCUGCAGAACCCUCAUCUCUCUUUGAUUCAGUGGAGAAGUACUGCAUUCCCCCCUGAUUUGUGGGUGUGAUCUCAAAAAGCAAAACUGGAACAGCAGGAACACAUUCCCAGAAGUACAACAGUGUGAUGGGGCUGUUAUCACUUAGACCAGCUAGAGGGUGGUUUCUGAUCUAGCUCCAAAUGCCAUCCAUCUAAACCUGCAGAAAUUAACCUCUGCAUCUUUUGAGAUGUAUUCAAAUCUACAGGCCUGAAAAGAUGCCCUGCGUUUCCCCAUAUGUCAGAGUAGUGAGGUCAGCAUGAAUUCCAAGUCCUGAAGCCACAGAGCUGAAGUGCAAACUUGGAGCUUGGGCUGUGGAUUGUUUCAGUGAUUCUACUAAGUCUGGCUUACAAGGGUAUUACUUUAAUCUACCAAUGACUUCCUUGCAUAUACAUGUAAUAAUAUACAUCAUCCUGAGUUCCUGGUCAUGCAUACGGCUGCUCAGCUAUGCACAGCCACCUUAUCAGUCAGGCUUCAGUGGUGGUGACUCUGUUGAAAAAAUGGAAGCAAUGAUAAGGAAAAGGCAGUAGAAACUGGAAAUGCUGUUUGCUGCGAACAGUGCCCCAGCUGAGUCCAGGCCAGACUGGACCUGAGCUCACUGAAGGAUAAGGGUCUGACUUCUUUUCCACCUGGUUCUCUGGUGUUUCUGCAUUGCCGGCCAGGGUUGGUGAUCAGCACCUGGACGUGCAGCUAUGGCUGUAAUUCACAGAUGUUAUCUGGGUCCAAUGGAAUCAAGGGGCAGAGCCAGGUUCGAAGUGGAUGCCGUGGCUGAACAUCACGGCUCACUCAGCCGCCCAACAGAGACCAUCUGGAUCGGGUUCUGUUCGUCCACCUGAGACUGCCAUUCACAAGAUGGAUCUUGCAGACUUCAGCACAUCUACAGCAUCGGGAACACCAAACGAUGAUGGCCAGAAGGAAUAUUAGUAGGCUCUGUCCACUGAUUCCACAGCUGUACAAUAAAAUACCGGGUGGAGUCCCAUCACCUCUCGAUGUGAGGUCGAUAUGUGCCCUCUGAGGAAACACCUUCAAGCAGAACCUCACUUUCUGAUCUUCCUGAAGUCUCAGAAUCCAGAUUACGCACCAUCCCUAUGCGGAAUCAGGACAACCUCCCUCUGAGAAUUCAGAGCCUGCAGGAUGCUUAGUAGGACAUGCCUGGAAUUACACAGAUUAUGCCUCCUUGCAUGGGAGAAGUAGAAAAGUCACAGCAUGGGUUAAAAAUACGCUUGUCUUCUCUCAAUAAUUAAUUGUUUAGGGAUUAACAUGAGGUUUUGUGUUUUGAAAGUAAACUAAUCCACUCGUUGGCUGGUGUGUAAUGAAGGAGAACAGGCUACUGUCAAGCAGGCUGAAAACAGUGAAAAUUAACUACAAGUGCCACGACUCACAUAUUUUAUGUAUAUGAGUAAUGUAUUCUCUGUGGGACAGAAGAUGAAAAUAUCACACAGAAAAGAAAAACACAGUGGCUACAAAUUUAAUAAAACAAGCAGUCAUACUUAGCCUCGCAGUAUAGUCUGGCAUUUUUACUGCCUGAUGGUAUCAAGGUUGGGCCAGUGCAAGAGAAUUCAUGCUCGUGAACUCACAAGAAGCACAGACUUCACUUUCUGCAGCCUCUCUGCUUGCAGAGCUAGCAAAAGGGAAGGAAAAUACAACUAAAACCAAGAAAACACUGAAUUAAAAU
rnacentral:lncRNA from 1 species